rnacentral:rRNA from 1 species
UACGUAGGGGGCUAGCGUUGUCCGGAUUUAUUGGGCGUAAAGAGCGUGUAGGCGGCUAGGUAGGUCCGUUGUGAAAACUCGAGGCUCAACCUCGAGACGCCGAUGGAAACCAUCUGGCUAGAGUCCGGAAGAGGAGAGUGGAAUUCCUGGUGUAGCGGUGAAAUGCGCAGAUAUCAGGAAGAACACCCGUGGCUAAGGCGGCUCUCUAGUACGGUACUGACGCUGAGACGCGAAAGCGUGGGGAGCGAACCGG